rnacentral:misc_RNA from 1 species
CGUUCUCCGAGGUCCUGCAGAUGGCGGUGGCGCAAAUGAUGGAGCUUCCGGGGACUUCGAGCUAUACUAUGACGAUGGUGUUGGGUCUGGACUCCGUCCUCUACCGGAGAGCAUGUCGGAGUUCUUGAUGGAAUCGGGAUUUGACCGGCUUCUUGUUCAGUUGACUCAAUUGGAAAUCAACGGCGUUGGUCGAUUUGAGCAUCCACCAGCUUCAAAAGCUGCAAUCGAGUCAAUGCCUGUGAUCAAAAUCCUCUCCAGCCACGUCUCUAUGGAAUCUCACUGUGCAGUUUGUAAAGAGCCAUUUGAACUUAACACGGAGGCGCGCGAGAUGCCAUGUAAGCA